GCUGGGUGUGGUGGCGCGCUCCUGUAAUCCCAGCUACUUGGGAGGCUGAGGCAGGAGAAUCACUUGAACCCAGGAGGCAGAGGUUGCAGUGAGCCGAGAUCGUGCCACUGCACUCCAGCCUGGGCAACAAAGCGAGAGUCUGUCUUAA
rnacentral:SRP_RNA from 1 species